rnacentral:misc_RNA from 1 species
GAGCAUUUCCAGCAAAAGUGUGAAACGGUUUUGCGUUGGAAAAUGCGAUAAAAUAAAUAGUUAGAGCGGUUCCAACGAUUCCGUUUUAAUCGGAACCGCUCUAGGACAUAUGUGAGAUCGAACGGCC